AUUGAACGCUGGCGGCAUGCUUUACACAUGCAAGUCGAACGGUAACAGGUUAAGCUGACGAGUGGCGAACGGGUGAGUAAUGCAUCGGAACGUGCCCGAUCGUGGGGGAUAACGCAGCGAAAGCUGCGCUAAUACCGCAUACGAUCUGAGGAUGAAAGCGGGGGACCGUAAGGCCUCGCGCGAUCGGAGCGGCCGAUGUCAGAUUAGGUAGUUGGUGGGGUAAAGGCUCACCAAGCCAACGAUCUGUAGCUGGUCUGAGAGGACGACCAGCCACACUGGGACUGAGACACGGCCCAGACUCCUACGGGAGGCAGCAGUGGGGAAUCUUGGACAAUGGGCGAAAGCCUGAUCCAGCAAUGCCGCGUGCAGGAAGAAGGCCUUCGGGUUGUAAAGCCCUUUUGUUUGGGAGCAAAUCCUACUGGUUAAUACCUGGUGGGGAUGAGAGUACCAAAAGAAUAAGCACCGGCUAACUACGUGCCAGCAGCCGCAGUAACAC
rnacentral:rRNA from 1 species